AUUGAACGCUGGCGGCAUGCCUUACACAUGCAAGUCGAACGGUAACAGGUCUUCGGAUGCUGACGAGUGGCGAACGGGUGAGUAAUACAUCGGAACGUGCCCGAUCGUGGGGGAUAACGAAGCGAAAGCUUUGCUAAUACCGCAUAAGAUCUAAGGAUGAAAGCAGGGGACCGCAAGGCCUUGCGCGAACGGAGCGGCCGAUGGCAGAUUAGGUAGGUGGUGGGAUAAAAGCUUACCAAGCCGACGAUCUGUAGCUGGUCUGAGAGGACGACCAGCCACACGGGGAAUGAGACACGGCCCAGACUCCUACGGGAGGCAGCAGUGGGGAAUUUUGGACAAUGGGCGAAAGCCUGAUCCAGCCAUGCCGCGUGCAGGAUGAAGGCCUUCGGGUUGUAAACUGCUUUUGUACGGAACGAAAAGACUCUGGUUAAUACCUGGGGUCCAUGACGGUACCGUAAGAAUAAGCACCGGCUAACUACGUGCCAGCAGCCGCCGUAAUAC
rnacentral:rRNA from 1 species